UACGGAGGGUGCAAGCGUUAAUCGGAAUUAUUGGGCGUAAAGAGCUCGUAGGCGGUUUGUCGCGUCUGCCGUGAAAGUCCGGGGCUUAACCCCGGAUCUGCGGUGGGUACGGGCAGACUAGAGUGCAGUAGGGGAGACUGGAAUUCCUGGUGUAGCGGUGAAAUGCGCAGAUAUCAGGAGGAACACCGAUGGCGAAGGCAGGUCUCUGGGCUGUAACUGACGCUGAGGAGCGAAAGCAUGGGGAGCGAACAGG
rnacentral:rRNA from 1 species